GCUGGGCGUGGUGGCUCACGCCUGUAAUCCCAGCAUUUUGGGAGGCCGAGGCAGGCGGAUCACCUGAGGUCAGGAGUUUGAGACCAGCCUGGCCAACAUGGUGAAACCCUGUCUCUA
ensembl:misc_RNA Metazoa_SRP Metazoan signal recognition particle RNA